CGGUCUUAUUAAGUUGAAAUACUGGUUCCUAUCACCGAAGUUAAGCAACGUCGAGACUGGUCAGUAUUUAGAUGGGUGACCGUAUGGGAACAACCGGUGUUGUAA